UGGCCCUUCUCCUCUCCAGAGACCUGGUC
rnacentral:piRNA from 1 species